CAGUAGCCGCGGUAAUACGUAGGUGGCAAGCGUUGUCCGGAAUUAUUGGGCGUAAAGGGCUCGCAGGCGGUUUCUUAAGUCUGAUGUGAAAGCCCCCGGCUCAACCGGGGAGGGUCAUUGGAAACUGGGAAACCUGAGUGCAGAAGAGGAGAGUGGAAUUCCACGUGUAGCGGUGAAAUGCGUAGAGAUGUGGAGGAACACCAGUGGCGAAGGCGACUCUCUGGUCUGUAACUGACGCUGAGGAGCGAAAGCGUGGGGAGCGAACAGGAUUAGAUACCCCAGUAGUCCCUGUCUCUUAUAC
rnacentral:rRNA from 1 species